rnacentral:rRNA from 1 species
UACGUAGGGGGCAAGCGUUGUCCGGAAUCAUUGGGCGUAAAGCGCGUGUAGGCGGCUUCGUAAGUCCGUUGUGAAAGUCCAGGGCUCAACCCUGGAAUGCCGAUGGAUACUGCGGAGCUAGAGUCCGGAAGAGGCGAGUGGAAUUCCUGGUGUAGCGGUGAAAUGCGCAGAUAUCAGGAGGAACACCAAUGGCGAAGGCGACUCUUUGGCCUGUAACUGACACUGAGGCGCGAAAGCGUGGGGAGCAAACAGG